rnacentral:rRNA from 1 species
GUCCACGCCCUAAACGAUGUCUACUAGUUGUCGGGUCUUAAUUGACUUGGUAACGCAGCUAACGCGUGAAGUAGACCGCCUGGGGAGUACGGUCGCAAGAUUAAAACUCAAAGGAAUUGACGGGGACCCGCACAAGCGGUGGAUGAUGUGGAUUAAUUCGAUGCAACGCGAAAACCUUACCUACCCUUGACAUGGAAGGAAUCCUCGAGAGAUUGAGGAGUGCCCGAAAGGGAACCUUUACACAGGUGCUGCAUGGCUGUCGU